GAGUUUGAUCAUGGCUCAAGAUGAACGCUAGCUACAGGCUUAACACAUGCAAGUCGAGGGGAAACGACAUCGAAAGCUUGCUUUUGAUGGGCGUCGACCGGCGCACGGGUGAGUAACGCGUAUCCAACCUGCCCAUCACUUGGGGAUAACCUUGCGAAAGUAAGACUAAUACCCAAUGAUAUCUCUAGAAGGCAUCUGAAAGAGAUUAAAGAUUUAUCGGUGAUGGAUGGGGAUGCGUCUGAUUAGCUUGGUUGGCGGGGUAACGGCCACCAAAGCAACGAUCAGUAGGGGUUCUGAGAGGAAGGUCCCCCANAUUGGAACUGAGACACGGUCCAAACUCCGUACGGGAGGCA
rnacentral:rRNA from 1 species